AUGCACCAUGUUCUGUUUGACUGCUGCAAGCAACUGAAGCAUCUAACCCUUCAUCAUUGUGAUACUGGUUCCUACUCUCUCUUUAAGAUUGAUGCACCACACUCAAAACUCUGUGUUCUAGAAAUCGGAAAGUGUCGCUUUCUGAGAAUCGACCUUGUCUGCCUCCCUAAUCUGAAGAAGUUGGUUUGCGAUACUUGGGUAUCUCAGUGUGCCCCGUUGACCUUUGGUUUUGUCCCUUCUCUUGGGGAAUUAGAACUCUCAUGUGGUUCAGAUUGUGAGCAACGCGGGUUUAAAUUAAGUGAGCUUCUACAUGGAGUAACAAGUAUACAUACUCUCACAUUGGAUUUCCAAGGAGAAACCCUUUGGUUGCAUCCUGAAAUGGAGGAUCUCCGCACCGCAUUCAGCAAGCUAAGGAAGUUGUCUGUACUUGGUAUCUUUGUUGAAUUUGACAUUUUAUGGACUACGGCCUUUCUUGUAGCAGCACCAUCUAUUGAAAUGUUACAUAUUGAGGUAUGGGAACACACAUGCGAUGUGGGCGAGGCCAGACCUGCUUCCUUCCAUGACAGAAGGAGUCCUCAGUGGGAAAUGCACUUAGAUAGCAGCUCCGAGAACAAGCUUCUGAAAGAGCUAGAAUUUGCUGGAUUUAAAUCGCUAGAACAACAGUUUACAUUUAUAAGAUCCAUGCUGGAGCGAUCUCCCAACUUGCAAAGAUGA
rnacentral:rRNA from 1 species